rnacentral:rRNA from 1 species
UUACCUACUCUUGACAUCCUAAGAAGAGCUCAGAGAUGAGCUUGUGCCUUCGGGAACUUAGAGACAGGUGCUGCAUGGCUGUCGUCAGCUCGUGUUGUGAAAUGUUGGGUUAAGUCCCGCAACGAGCGCAACCCUUAUCCUUUGUUGCCAGCGGUUCGGCCGGGAACUCAAAGGAGACUGCCAGUGAUAAACUGGAGGAAGGUGGGGAUGACGUCAAGUCAUCAUGGCCCUUACGAGUAGGGCUACACACGUGCUACAAUGGCGUAUACARAGAGAAGCGACCUCGCGAGAGCAAGCGGACCUCAUAAAGUACGUCGUAGUCCGGAUUGGAGUCUGCAACUCGACUCCAUGAAG